rnacentral:lncRNA from 1 species
CAUCAGCAUUUAAGAAGUUGUGUUUCCUAGGAAGGAAACUAAACAAAGCUCCAGCAAAGCUAAAGUUACUAGCAUGCAAUACUUACAUAAAGUCGAAAUUAGAAUAUGCUUCCGUAAUUUGGGAUCCCGAAACUAAGCAGGAUAUAUAUAAACUUGAGAUGUUGCAAAGAAAGGGAAUCAGAUUGAUUUUUGGUAAAUAUAAAAGGUGUGACUCCCCUACUAAACUUAUGCAAGAACGCGGGAUCACAUUACAGCAAAACAUGUACAUUG